rnacentral:lncRNA from 1 species
AUCAGUCAUCUGAGUCCAGGGAGUACACAGGUAUCUUGAAACACACCUGCAGGGACCUGCUUCUGAAAAAGAUAAGACAUGGACCAGAAUCCGGAACAAACGCUCAACAGCACUGUGAAGGCCUGGGUGAACAAUACUGUGCAAGCCCCGGUGGACAAUACUGUGGAGCCUCCAGUGGACAUCACUGGGGAGGCUCCGGUGGAGAAGUUGAAUGACGUUAGAGAAGUCCAUUUUCAGACAAAACUUUCAGCUGCCAUGUUACAUAUUGCAAGUCUCCAAAAUCCUGUCUCUGAAGACUCAUCGCAGUUAUCAGAUACAAUGCAAGAUGCUUCCUUGGAGGGGCCGUUCGGCUUGGGGCCUCUGGUUUUCCCUUCUUUGCAGCGUUUCAACAACAUUAACUAUUUCCUGAUCUCGUUCUGUAUAUUAUCCCUAUCUCAAGGUACUAUAUCUGGUCUCACUCGUGUGAGUACUGGAAAUUUUGAGAAGGAUUUUUAUCUGUCAAGGGCAGAGAAAGUUAUAUUGACCAUCUCUUAUGAUCUGGCAUCUUUAUUGGUAGCAAUACUUGUAGCGCACUAUGGAGGUAAAGGGAGCCGGUCAAAAUGGUUGGCAGCAGCUGCCCUUCUAGUAGGGCUCGCAUCAAUCUUAUUUGCCGUUCCAUACUUGAAAUAUGAAAUUGUACGUCCAGUGGAAGAUAGUGAAGAGUUGUGCAUAGAUGAAGAAGAAAGAACAAUGCCAGAUUGUGAAGAAAACAUAGUACCAUUCAAAUCAGAAAUUAUCAUUUUUUCCAUCAUCGGGCAGUCUCUUCAGGGAAUUGCAGGAAUGCCGAUGUAUAUCCUUGGUGUAACCUAUAUUUAUGACAACAUUUCCACAUACAUGGCUGGCAUCUAUUUAGGUAUCGCGGAUGCUGCAUUUGUAUUGGGAUAUGGUCUGGGCUAUGCAGUAGGAUCUCCAAACCUUAGGCCUUCAUUUAAUCACAGUUCGGAGGAAGAGGUAAAUGACAACUUUCUUCUGUGGCAGUUCAAUUGGUUUGUUGGUUUUCUGUUUGCCACUCUGCUCGCAUGGUUCACAUUUUUCCCAUUUUUAUGUUUUCCACAUCGUUUACCUGGUGCACACAAGCCAAAGCAACAGAAAGAAAAGGAACCUCUUGCCUUUUACAAGAAGCUUAAGAAUAUGAAAUAUGGAUAUAAUUUACAGGAUUUGUUUCAUGCACUUUGGAGUCUGUUGAGGAACCCACUGCUGAUGUGCUACUCAAUGUGCAAAGCCACAGAGGCCUUGGCUACUAUUGGAGCUGCAGAAUUUUUGCCCAAAUAUUUAGAAAGUCAGUUUUUGUUAUCACCCUCACGUGCCACUCUGCUCACAGGAAUUAUUUUAGUUCCAGGAAGUGCACUUGGCAAUUUUCUGGGAGGUUUCAUUGUUUCCAAGUUGAAAAUGUCUUCUAGAAGCCAAAUGAAAUUUAUAGUGAUAACGUCUAUCAUAUCACUUCUGCUUUUAAUAUUAAACAUUUUUAUAAAGUGUGAAAGAGUGAAAUUUGCUGGAAUCACUGCCAAUUAUGAAGGAACAGGUAGUUUGGGAAACCUCACAGCUCCAUGCAAUGCACACUGUGGUUGUGACCGUUCCACCUAUUCUUCUGUAUGUGGAAGAGAUGAGACUGAAUAUUUCUCUCCCUGCUUUGCAGGCUGCCUUGCUUCUAAACACCUAGACUAUGAAAAGACAUUCUACAAUUGUUCUUGCAUUAAACAUGGAUUGGCAAAUGCAGAUUCUGAAGCUGAUCCCAUUGAUGCCACUUCUGGAAAAUGUAACACCAAGUGUUAUGCAUUGCCUUUGUUUUUUGCUUUUUUCUUUUCUUCAAUUGCUUUUUCUAGUUCAGCUAGUAUACCAAUCACCUUGAUUAUCCUCCGAACUGUACCUCAUAAUUUACAUUCACUGGGCAUAGCUGUGACCUAUACAACUUUGAGAUUAUUUGGAUCCAUCCCUGGGCCACUGCUUUUUCAAUUAACAGCAAGUCGUUCUUGUAUUUACUGGGACAUAAAUAAAUGUGGAGACAAAGGACGUUGUUGGAUCUAUAAUAAGUUAAAAAUGAUGUUCAUACUGAUGGGAUUCUGUAUUUUUUGCAAAUUGGCCACAACCUUCUUUACUCUCUUGGCAUUUUUUAAAUAUAAUGUUUCCAGAGUUGGAAGCAAGAAUGCAAAGAAAAGAAGCAAAAAAUAAAAAAUAAAAGAGGCAAAAAAUAAAAAAUAAUUAUUAACUGAUUUCUUCCUUGGUUUCCUGAACUCUGAGGGAAAGGAUUUGAUGGAGACAUCCCAUUUAAAGGACUGGAGAGCCUGUGAUUGCCCAGGUUCUAAGGACAGCAGUCUAUGCUUUGGAGAUUUCAUAAGAUUGUGGCAAUGCUAUAAUUUCAUAAGAGAAAAUUAUCAUAAAAGUAUCUAUUCAUAUUUUCAUUUUAAUAAUAAAGAAUACGUUUAUGAAACAUUUCUG